UCCCACUUAACGUGGGCAGUCUCCUUAGAGUCCCCGGCAUGACCCGAUGGUAACUAAGGAUAAGGGUUUCGCUCGUUAUGGGACUUAACCCGACAUCUCACGACACGAGCUGACGACAGCCAUGCAACACCUGUGUACGCUCCCGACUCUACGGGUCGUCGCCCUUUCAGGUUUCUACUACGUACAUGUCAAGCCCGGGUAAGGUUCUUCGCGUUGCUUCGAAUUGAACCACAUGCUCCACCGCUUGUGCGAGCCCCCGUCAAUUCCUUUGAGUUUUAGCCUUGCGACCGUACUCCCCAGGCGGCUUACUUAAUCCGUUAGGUUCGGCAGAGAAGACAUCAGAUUCUCCUCUACUUAGUAAGCAUCGUUUACAGCCAGGACUA
rnacentral:misc_RNA from 1 species